GUCGGCUCUCUACUGCCACACAAAGAGGGGGGAAAAAGUUCUUAUUUGUGCAGCGGCCCCUCGGCAACCAACAAGAAUGCAGUCGUUGACCGUUAUUACUUUGAAAUGCGACAUGACAUUAAAGACGUUCGAUGUACGUAACGGCCAUACAAAAAAGGAUGCGUCUUACUUUAUGUCGACAUUCCUCAAAUCGAGAAAGUCAGAAAGGCGUCACAAAGCUGGGAGAGGUGGUGUCAGUCCGCCCAGGGUGCGGUGCGUCCAACAGAAUUCUGCUCACCCUUUUCUUCGAACCUACCGCAUGCAAAUCUUCAAGAGUAGGUUGAGGGGUUACAUAUGAUAGCCCUGAGAAAGUUGGUGGACAUUGGUGAUUUUUUCACUUGGAGGAUGGUCCCAGACAACCUCUUGUUAUAAGCAUUUUACGUGAUGGAGGACUGUUUAGGCACCAAUGUUUUUGACAAUCAGAUUUUUUGUUUCAUAAUUUUAUGUAAACCAUCACAUGGUGUCAAGCUUGGCUGUGAACAUUUUUUAUGAGGUAUUUUAUUUGUCAUGUCGUAUAUUUCUGCUAUGUUUGGAACAACCUCAUGACAGAUAUUCAGCCACUUGAAAAACAUAUGUUUA